UACAGAGGUCUCAAGCGUUGUUCGGAUUCAUUGGGCGUAAAGGGUGUGUAGGUGGCGCGCUAAGUCGGGUGUGAAAUUUCGGAGCUUAACUCCGAAACUGCAUUUGAUACUGGCGUGCUUGAGGACUGGAGAGGAGAGACUGGAAUUCAUGGUGUAGCAGUGAAAUGCGUAGAGAUCAUGAGGAAGACCAGUGGCGAAGGCGGGUCUCUGGACAGUUCCUGACACUGAGACACGAAGGCCAGGGGAGCAAACGGG
rnacentral:rRNA from 1 species